AAGGGAAACCGAGUCUUAACUGGGCGUUAAGUUGCAGGGUAUAGACCCGAAACCCGGUGAUCUAGCCAUGGGCAGGUUGAAGGUUGGGUAACACUAACUGGAGGACCGAACCGACUAAUGUUGAAAAAUUAGCGGAUGACUUGUGGCUGGGGGUGAAAGGCCAAUCAAACCGGGAGAUAGCUGGUUCUCCCCGAAAGCUAUUUAGGUAGCGCCUCGUGAACUCAUCUUCGGGGGUAGAGCACUGUUUCGGCUAGGGGGUCAUCCCGACUUACCAACCCGAUGCAAACUGCGAAUACCGAAGAAUGUUAUCACGGGAGACACACGGCGGGUGCUAACGUCCGUCGUGAAGAGGGAAACAACCCAGACCGCCAGCUAAGGUCCCAAAGUCACAGUUAAGUGGGAAACGAUGUGGGAAGGCUCAGACAGCCAGGAUGUUGGCUUAGAAGCAGCCAUCAUUUAAAGAAAGCGUAAUAGCUCACUGGUCGAGUCGGCCUGCGCGGAAGAUGUAACGGGGCUAAACUGUGCACCGAAGCUGCGGCAGCGACGCUUAUGCGUUGUUGGGUAGGGGAGCGUUCUGUAAGCCUGCGAAGGUGUCCUGUGAGGGAUGCUGGAGGUAUCAGAAGUGCGAAUGCUGACAUAAGUAACGAUAAUGCGGGUGAAAAGCCCGCUCGCCGGAAGACCAAGGGUUCCUGUCCAACGUUAAUCGGGGCAGGGUGAGUCGACCCCUAAGGCGAGGCCGAAAGGCGUAGUCGAUGGGAAACGGGUUAAUAUUCCCGUACUUGGUGUUACUGCGAAGGGGGGACGGAGAAGGCUAUGUUGGCCGGGCGACGGUUGUCCCGGUUUAAGCGUGUAGGCUGGUUUUCCAGGCAAAUCCGGAAAAUCAAGGC
rnacentral:rRNA from 1 species